GAUGAACGCUGGCGGCGUGCUUAACACAUGCAAGUCGAACGGAAAGGCCGAAGCUUGCUUCGGUACUCGAGUGGCGAACGGGUGAGUAACACGUGGGUGAUCUGCCCUGUACUUCGGGAUAAGCUUGGGAAACUGGGUCUAAUACCGGAUAUGACGAUCUCUUGGAUGGGGUUGUGGAAAGCUUUUGCGGUAUGGGAUGAGCUCGCGGCCUAUCAGCUUGUUGGUGGGGUAAUGGCCUACCAAGGCGUCGACGGGUAGCCGGCCUGAGAGGGUGUACGGCCACAUUGGGACUGAGAUACGGCCCAGACUCCUACGGGAGGCAGCAAUGGGGAAUAUUGCACAAUGGGCGCAAGCCUGAUGCAGCGACGCCGCGUGGGGGAUGACGGCCUUCGGGUUGUAAACUCCUUUCGCAAUCGACGAAGCCUUUUGGUGACGGUAGGUUGAGAAGAAGCACCGGCUAACUACGUG
rnacentral:rRNA from 1 species